UGAGGCAUAGCUCAGCGUUAGAGCAUUUGCUUAGCAUGCACAAAGCCCUGGGUUUAAUUCCCACUGCUAAAA
rnacentral:tRNA from 1 species